CCUACGGGUGGCAGCAGUGAGGAAUAUUGGUCAAUGGCCGGAAGGCUGAACCAGCCAUGCCGCGUGAAGGUCAGUGCCCUAUGGGCGUUAAACUUCUUUUGUGCGGGAGCAAUAAUGGUCACGUUUGGCCAGACGAGAGUACCGUACGAAUAAGCAACGGCUAACUACGUGCCAGGAGCCGCGGUAAUACGGGGGAUGCAAGCGUUAUCCGGAUUUAAUGGGUUUAAAGGGUGCGUAGGCUGGGAGGUAAGUCAGCGGUGAAAUGCCCCCGCUCAACGGGGUGAAGUGACAUUGAUACUGCCUUGCUGGAAUGCGGAUGCCGUGGGAGGAAUGUGUGGUGUAGCGGUGAAAUGCAUAGAUAUCACACAGAACACCGAUUGCGAAGGCAUCUCACGAAUCCGCGAUUGACGCUGAUGCACGAAAGCGUGGGUAUCAAACAGGAUUAGAUACCCCAGUAGUC
rnacentral:rRNA from 1 species